rnacentral:rRNA from 1 species
CAGCAGCCGCGGUAAUACGAGGGGGGCAAGCGUUGUUCGGAUUUAUUGGGCGUAAAGGGUGCGUAGGCGGUUUGGCAAGUCUUGUGUGAAACCUAUGGGCUCAACCCAUAGCCUGCACGAGAAACUACCGGGCUUGAGUAUUGGAGAGGUGAGUGGAAUUUCCGGUGUAGCGGUGUAAUGCGUAGAUAUCGGAAGGAACACCUGUGGCGAAAGCGGCUCACUGGACAAUAACUGACGCUGAUGCACGAAAGCGUGGGGAGCAAACAGGAUUAGAUACCCCUGUAGUCCUGUCUCUUAUACA